rnacentral:rRNA from 1 species
UACGGAGGGUGCAACCGUUGCUCGGAAUCAUUGGGCGUAAAGCGCACGUAGGCGGUCUGUUAAGUCGGAUGUGAAAGCCCCGGGCUCAACCCGGGAAGUGCAUACGAAACUGGCGGACUUGAAUAUGGAAGAGGGUCGCGGAAUUCCCGGUGUAGAGGUGAAAUUCGUAGAUAUUCGCAAGAACACCAGUGGCGAAGGCGGCUCACUGGCCCGGUACUGACGCUGAGGUGCGAAAGCGUGGGGAGCAAACAGG